GACGUAGGGCGCGAGCGUUGUCCGGAUUUAUUGGGCGUAAAGAGCUCGUAGGCGGUCUGUCGCGUCUGCUGUGAAAACCCGGGGCUCAACCCCGGGCCUGCAGCCGAUACGGGCAGACUAGAGUUCGGCAGGGGAGACUGGAAUUCCUGGUGUAGCGGUGAAAUGCGCAGAUAUCAGGAGGAACACCGGUGGCGAAGGCGGGUCUCUGGGCCGAUACUGACGCUGAGGAGCGAAAGCGUGGGGAGCGAACAGG
rnacentral:rRNA from 1 species